GACGGUUUGGCUGAGUGGUCUCAAGAUUUAGGCUCUGGUCCUAAGGGCGUGGGUUCAAAUCUCACAGCUAUCA
rnacentral:tRNA from 1 species